UCGUUGUAAAUUUCUCACAGCGUGUCGCUAGUACUCUUGAAACGUAUUUUCAACGUUCUCUCUCAGAAUUCUUUCUAAAUUCUAAUUCUCAUCAAGAAGCAGCUACGUUUGUAGAAUCAUGUCUGCUAUCUCCGAAAAGCAGAAUGCGCGAUGUUGCGCAUGACCUCGUCUGAAAUUAUUAAACAGCCACUGGACGAAAUUGCGAAGUAAUGAUCAACGACACGCGGCCGAAACUGGCGACCACCAUCGCGGGUUAUAGUCAGGCGAGUCGCACGUGUAAUCGUCGACAUGUGUCUGUAUAUAACGGCAGCAACGGCAGAUUGUUGUUUGGGAUCGUCCUGUUUUGUUGUUACAUCACAAUGACAUGCGGCUCUAAGAUCAGCAUGUGGCAUGGAAAGAGUUUUAAGGAUCUUCUGGCAGCUCUACCGUCAAAACACUCACCUCACUAUCCGCAAAUGGGCUAUUGCGACCUUGACACGGAUUGCGAUUGGUCGUGGAACGAUACCCAUGGUUUUAAGAAAGUUAAAGCGCGCACCAGUCUGUCAAGAACUUUUCCGAACACGGAUGCUAAUAAUUCCUCAAAUGGCCACUUUCUGUGGUUCAGCGGCAAAGGGGAUGCUCAUAUAUGGUCCAAAUCGAUUCCGCGUACAGGUCCGCGUUGCCGUAUCGAAUUUUCACUUUAUAUGGUGGAAAUGGAAAACGGAUUCAUAAAUCUCGUCAUACAAACUAACAACAUGAGCUCCAUCGCGGUGACAAAAAGCGGAAAUAAUACCUCCAUGUGGAAGAAAAUAAGUUUUUCAUUACGCGCGAUUGAUCAGUCCUAUAAAUUAGUUUUAGAGGUCUAUGUACCCUUUUCUAAUUCGAGCAUCGGCGUUGACAACCUUCGCCUAGUUAAUUGCUUUUCAGAAUCCAUUGGAGAUUGUACGGAAGAUAUGUUUCGGUGUAACAACGGUUCCUGCUUAAACAGAACCCGUAUCUGCGAUUUCACGAAAGAUUGUCCCGAUGGCGAGGACGAAGCACUCGAGUGCGACAAGAUUCCAAAGAAUGCGAGGUGUAACUUCGAAGAUGGUUGGUGCGGAUGGACGAACGUUCCUGAAAGACCUCUAAAUUGGACUCUUCAUAAAGGUCCUACGCCAACCGAAAGAACUGGACCCAGUUACGAUCAUACUUACCGUAACGAAACUGGAACGUACGCGUUUGUAAACAUGGCUUCUAAAGAUAUGAAAUAUGGCAGUCGAGGCACCAUUACAAGUCCUCUAUAUAAUCCAACACCACCUUAUGCCAACAACCCUAAAAGUCCUUAUUAUAAAUCAUGUCAAAUACGGUUUUUCUAUCACAAACAUGGUCCACAUGCCGCAUCUCUUGGACUCUUUUUGGUCCAAGUAAGACCACACGGAAAUCAUACCGAAAACUUAUGGUGGUCCUACGGAACUAAUAGCGAUAUUUGGUAUAAUGAAGCUGUUGCUCUACCUGAUAUAAAAUAUAGGUAUCACUUGCAAUUUGAAGCGUCCAGAGGAUAUUCUUCCAAAAGUGAUAUAGCAAUUGACGAUAUUUCUUUGAGUCGAGAAUGUUUUGGCAUUGGAGUUCCACGUGAAGUUGUAGGUAAUUUUAAUUACUAUACACCCGUUAUCGAGUCCGAAAUAAUGCCACCGCAGCAUCCAGAUUUUGUAAAUGAGACAGUUAUUCGAAUUACCACUUGCGCGGCUUCCGGCAGGACCGGUCCUACUGAUGAAAAAUGUACUGAAAAAUAUAAUAACACAAAUAUAGAAUUGUUGAUACCGUCAUUGAUACAAGAGGAGAAAAGAUCGACCUUUAAUUUGUAUGGAGUCCAACGAUGGACUGCACCACGCGGUGAAUACUACACUUUAAUCGCCAUCGGAGCACGAGGAGGCUUGGGUUCGAGCAAUACCGGCAUCACUUUGGGUGCAUUUGUUCGCGGUGUCAUAGAACUCCAAAAGGGCGAUCAGUUAUAUUUCAUGAUUGGUCAAGAGGGAACGGAUGCGUGUGCCAAAAAUCUUGGCUUAAAAAGAACUGCCUGUCCAUCGAAUCAAUAUGCCGAAUCAAUAUCACUAUCGCAGGCAUCGAAAAUGCGAGAAGUGAAGAAAGUUGAGUUUAGGAAUCCUGGUGGCGGCGGCGGUGGUGCGACUGCCAUUUUCACAUUGAAAGCAAACGGUGAUCCGGAGCCCAUCUUAAUCGCGGGUGGUGGCGGUGGUUUAGGAUUGAAUCCUACUAUGGACGAUGGAUUGCAGCAUGGACGCGGUCCCUUUCCCAUGGGUAGACUUUCAUCUUCUCCGUCCAAUUUUUCAGAACGCAUGGGUGGACCCGGUGCUAGUUGGAAUGGAACACGGCCUAAUUUUCAACAAAAGGCUUGGGGAAUGUCAUUAAUUUAUGGAGGUAUAGGAGGUAUCGGUUGUGAAUCGGGAAUUGGGGAAAUUCAUGGUGAUGGAGGCUUUGGCGGAGGUGGGGGCGGUUGCCAAUCAGGAGGUGGUGGCGGAGGUUACAUUGGUGGGAAUGCUGGACAGAAUGAUGGAAGUGGUGAAGGUGGUUAUUCAUACGCCAGUCAGAAGCUCACCGAUAUUUAUUUUAAAGCUGCAGCUCAUUCUGGCCAAGGCGAGAUCUUCGUUAUACCCGCGAUCAGUGGUUGCGGUUGCGAUUACCGUUGCGUCGCGCUCGAUCAGUACUUGAGCGAGACCAAGUGUCUCUGUCCUCAGGGUUGGUUGCUCAGUAACGAUUCAAAAUCCUGCAUCAUGGCUGACGAUUCCAAAGAUGGUCAUCAAACGUACAUGAUCCAACUUGUAGUUGUAAUCAUUGGCUUGCUUACUAUUAUUGGAAUUUGCCUAAUAUCUUAUAAACGGUACCAAAAACAGAAAGCGCUUUCCCAUCGCCGCCAAGUGAUGUUUGGCAAUGGCACUGAAUUAGCUGCAUUGCGUCCAGGACACCAAUCGGACACGAUGAUGACCGAAUAUAACCCCAAUUAUGAGUUUGCUGGCAAUCUCUACAGCUUCAAAGACUUGCCGCAAAUACCUCGCGAGUGUAUCGAUUUAGUAAAACCUCUCGGCCAAGGCGCCUUUGGCGAAGUUUUCCAGGGCGUUUACAAAUACGGAGGUGAUGAACAUCCCGUCGCCGUCAAGACGCUACCAUCUUUAUCCACGACGCAAGCAGAAGCUGAUUUCAUGAUGGAGGCGUUAAUAAUGAGCAAAUUUAAUCAUCCGAAUAUAGUACACUUUAUCGGCGUCUCUUUUGACAAACAUCCCAGAUACAUCGUUCUCGAAUUAUUAGCCGGAGGCGACCUUAAGAAUUUUCUACGUGAAGAACGGCCUCGAUCAGACCGACCUACAUCAUUGACAAUGCUAGAUCUUAUUAUGUGCGGCUAUGACGUCGCAAACGGCUGUAAAUAUAUGGAGGAAGCGCGUUUUAUACACCGAGAUAUCGCCGCUAGGAAUUGUUUAUUGACAACUAAAGCACCGGGUCGUACCGUUAAAAUCGCAGAUUUCGGUAUGGCCAGGGACAUUUAUCGAAGCGAUUAUUAUAGGAAAGGUGGCAAGGCGAUGCUACCCAUAAAAUGGAUGCCACCCGAAAGUUUCUUGGAUGGCAUAUUCACUACAAAAACUGAUGUCUGGGCCUUCGGCGUGCUCCUGUGGGAAAUUAUGUCAUUUGGAUAUAUGCCCUACACCGGAUGUGCAAAUCGUGAAGUCAUGUCGAUGGUACAGUCUGGUGGUCGUCUUGAGAAACCCGCGGGAUGCCCAGAUCCUAUAUAUGGAAUCAUGACGCGGUGCUGGCAUCCACGGCCUGACGACAGGCCAAGUUUCUCUACGAUUGCUGAAAGAAUCGGUUAUUGUUUACAGGAUCCUGAUGUAAUAAAUAAACCCACGCCUAAUUUCGACAUAUUGCCACAUAUUUGCGAUCGUGAAAUAACAAUUAUGAGACCGGAUCCGGAAGCGGAAUGUAUCAAUGUGCGGUCUAAUUUGGAUUACAUACAACCGAGGGUCAGCGAUCCACGUUCCGUUGCACGUCGUGUAGAUCAAGCUAUGGGUGCCACCACCUACGAUUCCGAAAAUGAAAAAUCAAUCGAGGAUAAAUACGGCGAGUCUUACGCAAAAUCAACGGGAUGUCAGCAAGGAUUCAGUUGCAACACCUGUGAUUCUAGUAUGGAUACCUUCGAACAAAUUUACAACAGUGACAAUGAUGAAGAUCAUGAUGACGAUGUGAUUGAAAAUAAGGACAAAAGGAGGAUCGAUCAAUCAGAUCGACCAGAAAACAAGGCAAUACAUCGAAACAGUGAUAUUGAAGACCACGAUAAUGUAGACAAUGGCAACAACCGUCCAGAGGAUGAACGUCAUAUGACUGCCAACAUCGAUAGCGCAAUAACAGAUCGCAAAAACGGUAAUGAGAGCACAACGACUACCGACACCAAUUCCGAUUCUCUGAUAGCACAAUCCUCGGACACUCCGCCCGACACAAUAACGAACUCAUCGCCCAACACGCGCUCUUGUUCGCCAAGUCGUAUCAUCGGCCUCAACGCCAAUGUUAGUAAUGUGAACGGUAUGGUGAAGAAGAAUACCUUGAAAGCAACCCUGAGUCUGGAUCCAAGCGCGCUCUGCAGAGGCACCAUCCCUUACGAGAAGAUCACAACACAACGCUUGAGCAGUUCAUACACGCCGGGCAGUAUGGAACUAAGGAAGGUAACUUGACCUCUCCCCUACAUUCGACGUCCUGCAAAGUUUCCAUCUGUACAUGACCGUGGUCCUUGAUCGAAGGAUUCCCUGGGUCACGAGCUGCCAAGGGAAGAAGAGUGUUCCUGCUGAGAUUUAUCCGAGGGGGGUUGACGAGGCUGCCCGGCCGCGCUCGGCUGCAACGUUGCUCGUCGAUUGCAGCUGCAACGAUCGGCCACAACGACUGCGAUUAUAAGGGAUACGCAGCUCGUAGAACUCUCCUCGCCUCCGUGGGUUCAGGACAACGAAUAUUCGCGUCGUUACUAUUCUGAGGAGACUCUCCUGUGAAUGGAAAUCGAGGGAAACCUUCAAAUUUCUCUUCAUAGACGACGCUUUUCUGAUGCGCGCCGAACAUUGGUUUCCAUAAGAAAGACACGCGAUUAUCGUAAGUCGGAAGAAAAGAGAUUGUUAUAAAUGAACGCAAAACAAGCGAAUUAUGUACAUACGGAGAA